rnacentral:rRNA from 1 species
AGCGAAUGCUGGCGGCAGGCCUAAAACAUGCAAGUCGAACGCCGUAGCAAUACGGAGUGGCAGACGGGUGAGUAACACGUGGGAACGUGCCCUUUGGUUUGGAACAACACAGGGAAACUUGUGCUAAUACCGGAUAAGCCCUUACGGGGAAAGAUUUAUCGCCAAAGGAUCGGCCCGCGUCUGAUUAGCUAGUUGGUGAGGUAACGGCUCACCAAGGCUACGAUCAGUAGCUGGUCGAGAGGAUGAUCAGCCACACUGGGACUGAGACACGGCCCAGACUCCUACGGAGGCAGCAGUGGGAAUCUUGCGCAAUGGGCGAAAGCCUGACGCAGCGACGCCGC